GCCCAGUGAUGAGACCAAGGCGAAUAUGAGCCCACUGAAUUAGAGUCUGAGCUCUCCUGAGUUCCUAUUGGCUGGUAAUCUUGGCUGGGCAGUGAAGAUUUGCUGUCUUGCUGUAAGGGCCUGCCUACAUUAAAGAACCCCCUUUCUUUGAAACUUCUAUCCUUUUGAAGUAAUGGGAAAGAAAAAGGAUGGGGCUUAUAGUGUGUGUGUGUGUGUGUGUGUGUGUGCGUGCGUGCGUGCGUGAGAAGGGUCACAGGUUGAGUCUGUUCUCUGCAGUAAUUCUUUGGGCAUUGAGCUCUCUCUUUGGUAAUCUGAGGGCA